GGGGAUUUUGCUCAGUGGUAGAGCAUUUGCCUAGCAAGCGCAAGGCCCUGGGUUCGGUUCCCAGCUCCG
rnacentral:tRNA from 1 species